rnacentral:rRNA from 1 species
CCGAAUAUCCAAGGUUUCCAGGGUAAAGCUGAUCUGCCCUGGGUAAGUCGGGGCCUAAGGUGAGGACGAGAGUCGUAGCCGAUGGACAACAGGUGGAGAUUCCUGUACUAUGAUAUGGCAGAACUGUGGGGACACGUGCAGAGAGCGGAAGCCGGGAACGGGAUCCCGGUGCAAGCGAGGUACCAGAUGCGUUGGAAAAACCGCGCAUCAAUGGGAAGACGUGAUGCGGAGUGAAGUUUAGUAAUGAAGUCCGUGAGCUGUGCGUCAAGAAAAGCCGCUAUUGUUCAUACCAUACCCGUACCGUAAACCGACACAGGUGGAUGAGGAGAGAAUCCUAAGGCCGGCGGAAGAAGCAUUGUCAAGGAACUCGGCAAAAUGACCCCGUAGCUUCGGGAGAAGGGGUGCCACUGAGAAGUGGCCGCAGAGAAUAGGCUCAAGCUACUGUUUAGCAAAAACACAGGUCUAUGCGAAACCGUAAGGUGAGGUAUAUGGGCUGACGCCUGCCCGGUGCUGGAAGGUUAAGAGGAGAGGUUAGCGGAAACGCGAAGCUUUGAAUUUAAGCCCCAGUAAACGGCGGCCGUAACGAUAACGGUCCUAAGGUAGCGAAAUUCCUUGUCGGGUAAGUUCCGACCCGCACGAAAGGCGUAAUGAUUUGAGCGCUGUCUCGACAAUGCAUCCGGUGAAAUUGAAGUACCAGUGAAGAUGCUGGUUACCUGCGCCAGGACGGAAAGACCCCAUGGAGCUUUACUCCAGUUUUUACUGGGAUCCGGUACUGCAUGUACAGGAUAGGUGGGAGGCUAUGAAAUGGUAACGCCAGUUGCCAUGGAGCCGCUGUUGGGAUACCACCCUUGCAGUAUUGGGUUUCUAACCAGCCGCCGUGACCCGGCGGUGGGACAAUGCCAGACGGGGAGUUUGACUGGGGCGGUCGCCUCCGAAAGGGUAUCGGAGGCGCCCAAAGGUUCCCUCAGGAUGGACGGAAACCAUCCAAAGAGUGCAAAGGCAGAAGGGAGCUUGACUGCGACACCGACGGGUGGAGCAGGUACGAAAGUAGGGCUUAGUGAUCCGGUGGUAUUAAGUGGGAAUGCCAUCGCUCAACGGAUAAAAGCUACCCUGGGAUAACAGGCUUAUCACUCCCAAGAGUUCACAUCGACGGAGUGGUUUGGCACCUCGAUGUCGGCUCAUCGCAUCCUGGGGCUGUAGUAGGUCCCAAGGGUUGGGCUGUUCGCCCAUUAAAGCGGUACGCGAGCUGGGUUCAGAACGUCGUGAGACAGUUCGGUCCCUAUCCGGCGUGGGCGUAGGAUAUCUGAGAGGAGCUGUCCUUAGUACGAGAGGACCGGGAUGGACGGGCCGCUGGUGCACCGGUUAGACUGCCAAGUCUAUAGCCGGGUAGCCAAGCCCGGAAGGGAUAAACGCUGAAGGCAUCUAAGCGUGAAGCCCCCCUCAAGAUGAGAUAUCCCAUCCGAAAGGAGUAAACCCCCUUGAAGACGACGAGGUUGAUAGGGCAGGGGUGGAAGUGUGGUAACACAUGGAGCUGACUGCUACUAAUAGGGUGAGGGCUUGACC